UGGCCAUAUAACGGUGAAACAUCGGUUCUUGUACGAUCACCGAAAUGAAGCAAGGUCGAUCCUAAUCAGUACCUGGAUUGGUGACCAUAUGGGAAUACCAGUUGCUGUAA